rnacentral:rRNA from 1 species
AAAGGAAUUGACGGGGGCCCGCACAAGCGGUGGAGUAUGUGGUUUAAUUCGACGCAACGCGAAGAACCUUACCUACUUUUGAAUCCUAAGAAUUUUGCAGAAAUGUAGAAGUGCCGAAAGGAGCUUAGAGACAGGUGCUGCAUGGCUGUCGUCAGCUCGUGUCGUGAGAUGUUGGGUUAAGUCCCGUAACGAGCGCAACCCUAAUCCUUAGUUACCAUCAGGUCAUGCUGGGGACUCUAAGGAGACUGCCGGUGAUAAGCCGGAGGAAGGUUAGGACGACGUCAAGUCAUCAUGGCCCUUACAAGUAGGGCUACACACGUGCUACAAUGGGUGUUACAAUUGGAAGCGAAAUCGCGAGAUGGAGCCAAUCUAACAAAAGCACUCUUAGUCCGGAUUGGAGUCUGCAACUCGACUCCAUGAAGCUGGAAUCGCUAGUAAUCGUAGAUCAGAACGCUACGGUGAAUACGUUCUCGGGCCUUGUACACACCGCCCGU